GUUUACUCUUGCUGGGCUGAGAGAUAGGAUAAUGUACGCGGUGAGCCUUGUUUCCUUGAAAAUGGAAAAUCUGGCAACCCGAGACGCAGAUGGUAUUCCACAUGUGUUUUGAGGAAGAGAAGUCACAUUGCAGCAGUCACACAGCUGCUCAGAAAUUGAGACGGAAAACAUGUGAGAGGGCGAAGCGAAAAAGCCUGAGAGUGAGAGCUACAUCGAGGGAAAGGAAGUGGAAAUGCAUGUGGGUGAGUGUGUUAGGGCUGUG
ensembl:lncRNA